rnacentral:rRNA from 1 species
CAGUAGCCGCGGUAAUACGAAGGGGGCUAGCGUUGCUCGGAAUCACUGGGCGUAAAGGGUGCGUAGGCGGGUCUUUAAAUCAGGGGUGAAAUCCUGGAGCUCAACUCCAGAACUGCCUUUGAUACUGAAGAUCUUGAGUUCGGGAGAGGUGAGUGGAACUGCGAGUGUAGAGGUGAAAUCCGUAGAUAUUCGCAAGAACACCAGUGGCGAAGGCGGCUCACUGGCCCGAUACUGACGCUGAGGCACGAAAGCGUGGGGAGCAAACAGGAUUAGAUACCCCAGUAGUCCCUGUCUCUUAUAC